rnacentral:piRNA from 1 species
UUAAUAAACUGCCCCUGUUUCUAUCACUA